GCGGGAAUAGCUCAGUUGGUAGAGCACGACCUUGCCAAGGUCGGGGUCGCGAGUUCGAGUCUCGUUUCACGCUCCA
rnacentral:tRNA from 1 species